rnacentral:rRNA from 1 species
CCUACGGGGGUCUGCAGUGGGGAAUAUUGGACAAUGGGGGCAACCCUGAUCCAGCCAUGCCGCGUGUGUGAAGAAGGCCCUCGGGUUGUAAAGCACUUUCAGUGAGGAAGAACGCCUGGUGGUUAAUACCCAUCAGGAAAGACAUCACUCACAGAAGAAGCACCGGCUAACUCCGUGCCAGCAGCCGCGGUAAUACGGAGGGUGCGAGCGUUAAUCGGAAUUACUGGGCGUAAAGCGCGCGUAGGUGGCUUGAUAAGCCGGUUGUGAAAGCCCCGGGCUCAACCUGGGAACGGCAUCCGGAACUGUCAAGCUAGAGUGCAGGAGAGGAAGGUAGAAUUCCCGGUGUAGCGGUGAAAUGCGUAGAGAUCGGGAGGAAUACCAGUGGCGAAGGCGGCCUUCUGGACUGACACUGACACUGAGGUGCGAAAGCGUGGGUAGCAAACAGGAUUAGAUACCCUGGUAGUC